CUACGUGCCAGCAGCCGCGGUAAUACGGAAGGUCCAGGCGUUAUCCGGAUUUAUUGGGUUUAAAGGGAGUGUAGGCGGUCUGUUAAGCGUGUCGUGAAAUUUAGGUGCUCAACAUCUACCUUGCAGCGCGAACUGGCGGACUUGAGUGCACGCAACGUAUGCGGAAUUCAUGGUGUAGCGGUGAAAUGCUUAGAUAUCAUGACGAACUCCGAUUGCGAAGGCAGCGUACGGGAGUGUUACUGACGCUUAAGCUCGAAGGUGCGGGUAUCGAACAGGAUUAGAUACCCUGGUAGUCCGCACGGUAAACGAUGGAUGCCCGCUGUUAGCGCCUGGCGUUAGCGGCUAAGCGAAAGCAUUAAGCAUCCCACCUGGGGAGUACGCCGGCAACGGUGAAACUCAAAGGAAUUGACGGGGGCCCGCACAAGCGGAGGAACAUGUGGUUUAAUUCGAUGAUACGCGAGGAACCUUACCCGGGCUUGAAUUGCAGACGCAGGAUACAGAGAUGU
rnacentral:rRNA from 1 species